UUAAAAGUGAACCAAACUAAGUCUGAAACUGAAAAGAUGGGGUUCAGCAAUAUUAAGCAGCAAGAAGAAUCCCUUUCAAUGUUUUUUCCUCCACCCAGAAUCGAUAGAGCCAACCAAGAAGUGCUGAAGGAAAUCGAAAUGAAACCCAGAAGAAGCUGAAGAUUUCUUUUCGUUUUUCUAAUUCUGAUUCUCCCGUUUUUUGUAAUUUUUUUCGUCCGUUUCUUCUCUUUUUUUUUUGGGUAAUUUUCGCGUCUCCUUUUUUUUGUUAUGAAGAAAUGGUUAUAUAGAGUGUAUCCGUAGGGUGUUAAAGGUGAGAGUUUUAUUUGGG
rnacentral:lncRNA from 1 species